rnacentral:rRNA from 1 species
AGAGUUUGAUCAUGGCUCAGAUUGAACGCUGGCGGCAGGCCUAACACAUGCAAGUCGAGCGGUAGCACGGGAGAGCUUGCUCUCUGGGUGACGAGCGGCGGACGGGUGAGUAAUGUCUGGGAAACUGCCUGAUGGAGGGGGAUAACUACUGGAAACGGUAGCUAAUACCGCAUGAUGUCGCAAGACCAAAGUGGGGGACCUUCGGGCCUCACGCCAUCGGAUGUGCCCAGAUGGGAUUAGCUAGUAGGUGGGGUAAUGGCUCACCUAGGCGACGAUCCCUAGCUGGUCUGAGAGGAUGACCAGCCACACUGGAACUGAGACACGGUCCAGACUCCUACGGGAGGCAGCAGUGGGGAAUAUUGCACAAUGGGCGCAAGCCUGAUGCAGCCAUGCCGCGUGUGUGAAGAAGGCCUUAGGGUUGUAAAGCACUUUCAGCGAGGAGGAAGGCGCUGUAGUUAAUAGCUGCAGCGAUUGACGUUACUCGCAGAAGAAGCACCGGCUAACUCCGUGCCAGCAGCCGCGGUAA